rnacentral:rRNA from 1 species
GAUGAACGCUGGCGGCGUGCUUAACACAUGCAAGUCGAACGAAGCACUUAAGAUUGAUUCUUCGGAUGACGUCUUUUGUGACUUAGUGGCGGACGGGUGAGUAACGCGUGGGUAACCUGCCUCACACAGGGGGAUAACAGUUAGAAAUGACUGCUAAUACCGCAUAACCCGAUAGGAUCGCAUGAUCCAGACGGAAAAGAUUUAUCGGUGUGAGAUGGACCCGCGUCUGAUUAGCUAGUUGGUGAGGUAACGGCCCACCAAGGCGACGAUCAGUAGCCGGCCUGAGAGGGUGAACGGCCACAUUGGGACUGAGACACGGCCCAAACUCCUACGGGAGGCAGCAGUGGGGAAUAUUGCACAAUGGGGGAAACCCUGAUGCAGCGACGCCGCGUGAGUGAAGAAGUAUUUCGGGAUGUAAAGCUCUAUCAGCAGGGAAGAAAAUGACGGUACCUGACUAAGAAGCCCCGGCUAACUACGUG